rnacentral:lncRNA from 1 species
UGUUGAACAAUCGUACUGUAUUGUUGUAUUUAUGUAGAUGUGUUUGUGAAGGAAAAUAAUUGAAACUGAAUUGACAUCCGACAAGUGCGAAAUAUUAUACGAAUGAAAAUAUCUAUUCUCUACAAUCAUACGUUACCAAAUCACAGGUAAAUUUACAUUCAUUUACAAAUAUUUUUUUUUUAAUAAAUGUAAUGGUCUUCAAAAAUAGAUUUAAUAUUAAAAACAUAAUAUAAUAGGUAGGUGGUAUGUAUAGCUAUAUUUAUGUAUCUAUACUUAAAUACUCAAAAUUAUUUUUAUUCCAUAAAAAAUCCCUGUUAAUAUUACUUCUAUUAACAAUAAUUAUAAAAAUACUUUUUACCCAGGUAGAUAGAUAGGUAAGUUUAUAUUUAUUAUGACUAAAUAAUAUUUGAAUUUUUUUUAAAACAAAAUAAUUUAGUAUUGUGCAUACCUACUAAAUUAAUUUUAAAUAUUUUUUUCUAUUACCUAUUUAUUUAAAAAAAGAUUUUUAAUGUUCUUAAAUUACAUAUAGGUACAUAUCUUAGGUGAAUUUUAAAUUAAAACUAAUUUAGUUAUAGAAAUAUAAGUAAAUUAAUUUUAAUAUUAGAAAUUAAAUCCCCUAGUAUUAUUUAAUGCUAUUUUUACAGAUUAUUGAGCGUUUUUUAUUACAUAUUUUAUUGUAGUAACAUGAGUACAUCAAACUCCUACAUUGUAUACACCUACCUACACAUAAUAAAGACACUUUAAUAAGUAUUAUUAGGUAGGUAUAAUAGGUAUCAAUUAAUAAUUAUUAGACAUACACAUUUGAUAUUAAAUGUUUUAUAAGUCAUUUUUUUUUAUUAAAUACCAAUUCAUUUUUGUUCAGAAUAACAUUUUAAAUUCAGAUUAAUUAUAAGAUUAUAUUCUUGCCUAAAGUUCAUGUAUGUUUCCAACAAAUUAUAUUAGCAAUAAUUUGCUUUGUAAACUGUUAUAAAAUACAAAUUUCAGUUACUCCUCUAAUAUCAAUAUCUUAAGUUAUUAGUGAACUUAAUUAUUUACCCAUUGUUAGUAAAAAGUCAAACUCUCUGAUCAAAUUACAUUUUAAUAAUUUUAGUAGUUAAUAUUUGUCUUUUAUUAUAAAAAUGACAAUAGUGCUUCUAAUAUACUAAGUCUAUGUCAACAGUGCUCUUGUAACCAUAAUAUAAAGCUAACAUUUAUCACCUUUAUUUAACAAAUUGUUUUAGUUAAUUUAUACUUUAUUGCAUUUUUUAGUAUUCAUCUCAAUAGUAUUCAAUUUAAUUAACACAAUAGAAAAAAAAUUCAUGUAUGCUAGGUGUGUACAAAUUUUAAAUUACUUCUAUUAAUAGAUACUAAUUAAAAAUAUGUUUAUUAUAUCCAUGAUCUUAUAAUGUUAUUUAUUUAAACAUAAUAUUCAUAAACAUAUAAUAUUGUAAGUACUAAAUAGAAAAUAAUAUAUUAAUACCAAUGCAUUAAAAAUACAUACCUAAUGUUAACAUAGUACCUAAUUACUUACCACUAAAUUUGAUUAUUUUAAAUGAUUAAGGUACAUCUAGGAUUCAAGUAUUUUUUUUUUUCAUUUAUUCAAGUUCAAUAAUUUUAUAUUCUGGUUAUCUGAGCCAGAAAGCUGGAUAAGAUUUAAAAUUAAAAAUUCUAAAAAUAUUUCAUACAUGUUUUAAUAUAAAUAAUAAAGGUACCCACUGUAAAUUGGUCAUUUUUAAAUAAUUCUUUGUUGAAUGUUUUGAAAGUAAUUCAUAACUGAAUGUAUUCAAACAGGUGUCAAAAGUAUGUAUAAUGUUUAUACUGAAGAUUUAUGAUUGUUUAAUUUACUUAAAAGAAACCAUCCUAUCUUACCACUACUGUCCCUUACCAACCGUUAUAAUUUUAAAAUAAAUACAAUUUUAUUUUGGCUUAUAUUAUUGGCUUAAUAAAUAUUAGCUACCUUGAACUUAGUAAUUUAUACUGACAUAAAAUGUUUAUUUAUUCUGAAAAAAUGUUGAUGAACCAUAUUUUUAUUUUUAAUAACUAUCUUUAUUAGCCAACCUUGUUGUAUUAACCUGUGAUCAAACAUUGCCGUUUUUAAAUGACUAUAUUACAAUGUAUUAUUUUUAACUUACAUAAAAACUAUAGAUUGGUGAAAAUUAAAAAUAAUAAGCACAAUACAAAACAUGUAUUAAAUAUUAACAAACAAUUUUCUUGGUAUUAUGGUUUAAUCAGCUUUUUAACAAUCAAAUGUAUGAUUGUUUUAAAAUUUAGUCCAAAAUUUAAAUAAUUGAUACAUAUUUAUAUUAAGCCGUUGGAUAUAUAGUAUGUAAAAUAUAAUAUGAACAAAAUAAUACAUUUUUGAGAUUACAACUAAACAGAUGUGCAAUUAACUGUCAUAAAAAACAUGUCUAGCAUAUUUGCAUUGCAAAAUGAAUUAUUAACUGAUAAAUAAAGUACCUAGAUAAUAGCUGGAGAGUGACGUGCAUAAAAAAAAAGGAUACAAAAUCCUUUUAAUGAAGAAUAUAAAAUAUAAUUCUAUUACGAGAUGAUACUAAUAUAAGUUUGAGUUGCAAACAAAAUUUUUAGUACUUGUUUGAUUUAAAGAGAGAUCAAUAUGAUUUUACCUAUUUAUAACUCUUGCCUAUCAAAAUGCCAAUGUUUUAAAUACAAAUAUUCAACUAAUAUUUUUAUUUAUUUUUUUUAAACCAACAAAUUAUUUUACGGUUAAAUAGUGUACAAGUGAUUUGUAUUUUUUUUUUUUUUAAAAGCAGUUUUAUAAAAAUAGUGAUACCAAUAAAACCAGAGGCUAAUUGCUGUACAAAUAUUAGGUAACCAUGGACAGUCCUAUAGGAAACUUGGUAAUCAUUGGCAAAGUCCACAGGAUUCUGAAAUCUGAUGUAAAAUAUUAAUCAGUGAUUUACCCUCUGGAUAAAACCAAUUAUAAUCAUAAAUAUUGUAAUUUGCCAACCCUUAGUAAUUAAUCAGCUGAAAUUCAAAUAAUAAAUAAAUAAUCUUUUAUUUUGAGUAAAAUUAGAAGAAAAAAAAGUACAAUAGUAUUUGUAUGAUACAUUAGUUGCAUCUCAAUAUAAUUGAGAAUUUUUAAAUUUUUAAGUUGUUACACUAAAUAUAAUUAUUUAAUUGAUAAAUAAAUGGACACGUUUCAUACUUGAAAAAAGAAAAUAUAAAGCUUAAAAAAAUUAGGAUAGUGAGAAUUUGGAUAAGCAGAAUACAUAGAAUAAUUUAAUUAUGUAAAAUCAUUGCUAACAAAAAAGAGCUGAUACUGGGGACUUGUGCAGUCACUGUUGUAAGUGGGAAGGUAAUUUAUAUCUGUAAACAAUGUUAACUCAUUACUAAAAAAAAAAAAACGAUUUUGAACAAAAAAUUCUGUAAUUUUUACGAUUUUUUUUCACAGAGUUACAAAAAUCAAAUUUAUACAAACUGUUAUUACAUAAAUAUUCCUGUCCUUUCAAAUCCAUUAACUAAACCAAAUUUGUUACCAUAAACCUCCUCUGGAGCAGUAGUGGAUCCAGACUAUAGGCUAUACAAAAGUUUUUACUUCCCCAAAUAAUUAACUGUGUAACACAUAUAUUAUUAUACAGGAUUUUCAAGGAAAAAAUGCAGAGUGAUGAAUGUGUUGAUUGUACUAUGAUGUAUUUUGAUUGUUCAAUUUUUUUUUUCUGUCAGAACAUAUUUUCCACUGUACCAAAAAUCUUACUCCAAUCAAAAGAAGAAGUUAGUAAUGGUUUAUCGGUGCUUGCAGUUGUAUAUUAAAUAAACCUGUGUCCUACUUUCAACCUACAAAAUAUUUUUUGCUUAGUAAUAAUUUUUAGGAAGCCUCCCUUCAAAAUCCAACCCUAAAUCUGCUGCCAAUGCUCAGGUAUAAUAACAACAUUGCAAGUCUUGGUUUAAAAAACACUGGGUACUUAUUUUUAAAAUUAAAUCUCCCUACAAAUAAAUAUCUUGUCCAUUUACUAUUUUUGGGAAUUGCGUACCUAACUGGCAAAACUUUAUUGAAGGUCAUAUUUAUAUGCUAAUUUUAAUAAGUGUAUUUUCUAAUUUGUAAAAUAAUUAUUAAUCUAAGAUAGCCAAUUUGUAUGUCUGUUUUGUAUAAAAAUGUUAAAACCUUAUUAGUUAGUAGUAGAAUAAUUUUUAAAUAAACUGAAUUUACGAUUUAAUGAAACUUUUAAGAAAAAUUCAAAACAAUUUAUAGAGAGAACUGAAUGUAGUAUAUAGGCUAUCUUAUACUAUCAAUGUCUGGACCAAUUACUAUGUCUGACUUUUCCCCAUAUAAUACAUUUUAUCUUCAUAUAUGCCAAAUCCGAAAGAAAUUAUCUGUUCUGCAGUAUAAAUGUAAUGUAAAUAAAAUUAUAAUAAAUUCUAAAUGAUGCGUGUACAUUUUUAUUUUAACAUUUACAGAAAAUUAACCAAUUAAUUGCUCACAAAAAAAAAAAAAAAUAUGAAUAAUAUAAUAUUAUAACAUUAUCUAGUCUUUAUAAAAGCAUACACAUACACAUUUUCCAAGGAGCGGUACACACUUUGCAACACAAAUUUGCCUGUGGACGUCCAUUAAAAGAACAAAAGAGGGAAAUGAAUGUCUCUUUAGAAUAUAUUUAAACAAAGGUAAAAUUGUUUUUUUAAGCUUUGAUAUAAAGCCUGAAUAAUAAUUGAUUCACCCGCUCAUAAUAGACCUAUCAUAACUAUAGCUUAACUUAAUAUUUUAUUCAAUUCUUGUAUUCUCAUAUCCAUAUAUCUAUCUGUAUAAUAGUCUUUGAAUGCAUGUUUGGAAAUCAAGUUCCAAUCUGUCUCUACAGUGGAAAUUAGAUUAUGGUUGCCCAAGAGUAGGAUACUGUUGUAGGUCAAAAGUUGGAAGACAGGAUAAAUUGACUAAUUGAAGUUUAUAUUUCUAAGCAGCGAUAAAUCAUUACAAAUAAAAAAUUAAUUUGGUUACAUUUUUUGAUCAAUUUUAAUUUAAAACUGUUUUAUUAAUUUGUAACUAAAAAGUAAAUUAAAACACUUAUAAAAAUACAUUUUAACUUUUUUAUUCUCCUAAAAUAAAAAUUUCAAAUUGCUAUUAAUAAUAAUUCAUAAAACAGCUGAAUACUCUGCAAAGUGUUAAUAUAAAUGUAUGUACCAGAUAUACUUAGAUAGUGAACAUUUGAGGUUUUUCUUUGAUGAUUUCACUGAAUUACUAAAAAAAUAUUUUAGUUAAUUAAUUUAAUAAAAAGUUAUUGUGUAAAUACUCCCAUUAGAAAUUACCUUUGAUGUUGAUGGUUGGUACAAAAUGUCUAGCAGUAGUGUGGUUGUUCACUGACCAAAUAAAAAAAAAGAACAUCAAAGUAAAAUCAUUACUUUCAGAAAUUUAUUCUAAUAUUUAUUUUUAAAUUCUAUAUUUAAGCCUCAAAAUGGGGAGAGGAUUCUAAACAGAUUAUCGUAAUUUCUAUAUCUGUUUAUUUUUAACUUGUGUAACUAUUUAUAUUGAAUUUUUUGUGUUAAUUGUUUAAUCUUAAACAAUAAUUGUUUUUUUAUUACUAAAUAUAAUAAUAAAUGUGAUUUACACCGAUUCAAACUAAAUGUGCAUUUCAAUAUUUUAUAAUUUUUAAUUUUUUUUAUAGGUACCUCAACAUUUACUCUAAAAAAAAAAUGAAAAUUUUAAAGUCUUCACGAAAAAUGGAUGUUCAUGGAAUGAAGGAUACAUGAAGAUAAGUGGCCAAAAAUGGAAUCUUAAAAUUUAAAAGUAUGCUCAUUAAAUUCAAAAACAAAACCAAAAAUUGCAAAGACAAAAAGUAAUAUAAAGUAAAAUUUUCUGUCUGUAGCAUUUUAUGUUAAUUAAAAACAUUUGAAUAACAAUUUGAAUUGGUAAGAGUUGAAAAAAAAACUUGAGUAACAAACAAAUAAGUAUGUAAUACAAUGAAUUUAAUUGUCAUUAAGUACAAAAAUACAGAAAAAAUAUUUAUCUUAAAUAAUAAUAAAGCACCCAGACUGCUGUAUUCAACAACCAUUCCGUUUUAACGUGUUUGGUAGCUCUAAUUGUUUAUAUUAUUCUUAAUUCACUUAUUUCAGCACCCUAGUUAUCAAGUUUAUCUAAUUAUAGAAAUAAGUAUUUUCGAUGUUAGGUCGCCAUACAUAUUCAUUAUAAGACCUACUACCAACAAACAAUGUGGUUUGGCCAUAAAUAAAUCAACAAAAUAAGCAAAACAUUUUGGCAAUUUGAUCUUUUGUUUGCUUCACAAAAACACCCU